UACGUAGGGUGCAAGCGUUGUCCGGAAUUAUUGGGCGUAAAGAGCUCGUAGGUGGUUUGUCGCGUUGUUCGUGAAAACUCACAGCUCAACUGUGGGCGUGCGGGCGAUACGGGCAGACUGGAGUACUGCAGGGGAGACUGGAAUUCCUGGUGUAGCGGUGGAAUGCGCAGAUAUCAGGAGGAACACCAGUGGCGAAGGCGGGUCUCUGGACAGUUCCUGACGCUGAGGCACGAAGGUCAGGGGAGCAAACGGG
rnacentral:rRNA from 1 species